rnacentral:rRNA from 1 species
AAUGGGGGCAACCCUGAUCCAGCCAUGCCGCGUGAGUGAUGAAGGCCUUAGGGUUGUAAAGCUCUUUCGCUAGGGAAGAUAAUGACGGUACCUAGAGAAGAAGCCCCGGCUAACUUCGUGCCAGCAGCCGCGGUAAUACGAAGGGGGCUAGCGUUGUUCGGAAUUACUGGGCGUAAAGCGCACGUAGGCGGACAUUUAAGUCAGGGGUGAAAUCCCAGGGCUCAACCCUGGAACUGCCUUUGAUACUGGGUGUCUUGAGUACGAGAGAGGUGAGUGGAAUUCCGAGUGUAGAGGUGAAAUUCGUAGAUAUUCGGAAGAACACCAGUGGCGAAGGCGGCUCACUGGCUCGUAACUGACGCUGAGGUGCGAAAGCGUGGGGAGCAAA